UCCAGUAUGAGCACUAAAAAUACCAUCCCUCAAUAUCUCGUCUGGUAUGAGGGUAAAACGGGCCAUCCCCAUACCCGGUCCAAUAUGAACGCCAAAUACCAAUCCUCGAUAUCCCGUCCAGUAUGAGGCAACAUUCACGGUAGAGUUUCUUAUGCACCCGGUCCGUCCACCAUCUCCUAGGAUAUCCAGUAAGGCUACUAUUUACUCAUUCAUUUAAUCAAUCAAUUCAUGUUUAC
rnacentral:lncRNA from 1 species